AGAGUUUGAUCAUGGCUCAGGAUGAACGCUGGCGGCAUGCCUAAUACAUGCAAGUCGAACGGAAUCUUAUAUGUUCCUCGUUUUGGAUUAAGUUCCAAGUUGAGGAACAAUAAGAUUUAGUGGCGGACGGGUGAGUAACACGUUGGUACCUACCCUCUAGUGGGGAAUAACUUCGAGAAAUCGAGGCUAAUACCGCAUAAUAUCUACGGAUUAAAGCUUUAUGCGCUAGAGGAGGGGCCUGCGUCUGAUUAGCUUGUUGGUGAGGUAAAAAGCUCACCAAGGCGACGAUCAGUAGCUGGAUCGAGAGGUUGACCAGCCACACUGGGACUGAGAUACGGCCCAGACUCCUACGGGAGGCAGCAGUAAGGAAUCUUCCACAAUGGGCGAAAGCCUGAUGGAGCAAUGCCGCGUGCAGGAUGACGGCCUUCGGGUUGUAAACUGCUUUUAUAUGGGAAGAUUAUGACGGUACCAUAUGAAUAAGGACCGGCUAACUACGUG
rnacentral:rRNA from 1 species